rnacentral:rRNA from 1 species
UACGUAGGGUGCAAGCGUUGUCCGGAAUUAUUGGGCGUAAAGAGCUCGUAGGCGGUCUGUCGCGUCUGCUGUGAAAACUCAGGGCUUAACCCUGAGCUUGCGGUGGGUACGGGCAGACUAGAGUGCGGUAGGGGAGACUGGAAUUCCUGGUGUAGCGGUGAAAUGCGCAGAUAUCAGGAGGAACACCGGUGGCGAAGGCGGGUCUCUGGGCCGUAACUGACGCUGAGGAGCGAAAGCGUGGGGAGCGAACAGG